UGGGGAAUUUUGGACAAUGGGGGCAACCCUGAUCCAGCCAUGCCGCGUGAGUGAAGAAGGCCUUCGGGUUGUAAAGCUCUUUCGGACGGAACGAAAUGGAUGGGACUAAUACUCCUGUCUGAUGACGGUACCGUAAGAAGAAGCACCGGCUAACUACGUGCCAGCAGCCGCGGUAAUACGUAGGGUGCGAGCGUUAAUCGGAAUUACUGGGCGUAAAGCGUGCGCAGGCGGUUUCGUAAGCUGGAGGUGAAAUCCCCGGGCUCAACCUGGGAAUGGCCUUCAGGACUGCGAGGCUGGAGUACGGCAGAGGGAGGUGGAAUUCCGCGUGUAGCAGUGAAAUGCGUAGAUAUGCGGAGGAACACCGAUGGCGAAGGCAGCCUCCUGGGCCAGUACUGACGCUCAUGCACGAAAGCGUGGGGAGCAAACAGG
rnacentral:rRNA from 1 species